AUUGAACGCUGGCGGCAGGCCUAACACAUGCAAGUCGAGCGGCAGCGACUUAACUGAACCUUCGGAGAACGUUAAGGGCGGCGAGCGGCGGACGGGUGAGUAAUGCCUGGGAAUAUGCCCUGAUGUGGGGGAUAACUAUUGGAAACGAUAGCUAAUACCGCAUAAUCUCUUCGGAGCAAAGAGGGGGACCUUCGGGCCUCUCGCGUCAGGAUUAGCCCAGGUGGGAUUAGCUUGUUGGUGAGGUAAUGGCUCACCAAGGCAACGAUCCCUGGCUGGUCUGAGAGGAUGAUCAGCCACACUGGAACUGAGACACGGUCCAGACUCCUACGGGAGGCAGCAGUGGGGAAUAUUGCACAAUGGGGGAAACCCUGAUGCAGCCAUGCCGCGUGUGUGAAGAAGGCCUUCGGGUUGUAAAGCACUUUCAGUAGGGAGGAAGGUAGUGUAGUUAACACCUGCACUAUUUGACGUUACCUACAGAAGAAGCACCGGCUAACUCCGUGCCAGCAGCCGCGGUAAUACGGAGGGUGCGAGCGUUAAUCGGAAUUACUGGGCGUAAAGCGCAUGCAGGCGGCCUGUUAAGUCAGAUGUGAAAGCCCGGGGCUUAACCUCGGAAUUGCAUUUGAAACUGGCAGGCUAGAGUCUUGUAGAGGGGGGUAGAAUUUCAGGUGUAGCGGUGAAAUGCGUAGAGAUCUGAAGGAAUACCAGUGGCGAAAGCGGCCCCCUGGACAAAGACUGACGCUCAGAUGCGAAAGCGUGGGGAGCAAACAGG
rnacentral:rRNA from 1 species